rnacentral:rRNA from 1 species
GGCCCGCACAAGCGGUGGAGUAUGUGGUUUAAUUCGAUGCAACGCGAAGAACCUUACCAGGGUUUGACAUCCUGCGAAUCUCUUGGAAACGAGAGAGUGCCUUCGGGAGCGCAGUGACAGGUGGUGCAUGGCUGUCGUCAGCUCGUGUCGUGAGAUGUUGGGUUAAGUCCCGCAACGAGCGCAACCCACGUCUUUAGUUGCCAGCAUUAGUUGGGCACUCUAGAGAGACCGCCGGUGAUAAACCGGAGAAGGUGUGGAUGACGUCAAGUCAUCAUGCCCCUUACAUCUGGGCUACACACGUACUACAAUGCUACGGACAAAGAGCAGCAAGUUCGCGAGGACAAGCAAAUCCCCAUAAACCGUGGCUCAGUUCAGA